AUUGAACGCUGGCGGCAGGCCUAACACAUGCAAGUCGAGCGGAUGAGAGGAGCUUGCUCCUUGAUUUAGCGGCGGACGGGUGAGUAAUGCCUAGGAAUCUGCCUGGUAGUGGGGGAUAACGUCCGGAAACGGGCGCUAAUACCGCAUACGUCCUACGGGAGAAAGCAGGGGACCUUCGGGCCUCGCGCUAUCAGAUGAGCCUAGGUCGGAUUAGCUAGUUGGUGAGGUAAUGGCUCACCAAGGCGACGAUCCGUAACUGGUCUGAGAGGAUGAUCAGUCACACUGGAACUGAGACACGGUCCAGACUCCUACGGGAGGAAGCAGUGGGGAAUAUUGGACAAUGGGCGAAAGCCUGAUCCAGCCAUGCCGCGUGUGUGAAGAAGGUCUUCGGAUUGUAAAGCACUUUAAGUUGGGAGGAAGGGCAGUAAGCUAAUACCUUGCUGUUUUGACGUUACCGACAGAAUAAGCACCGGCUAACUUCGUGCCAGCCGCCGCCGUAAAAC
rnacentral:rRNA from 1 species